rnacentral:rRNA from 1 species
UAGGGAAUCUUCGGCAAUGGACGAAAGUCUGACCGAGCAACGCCGCGUGAGUGAAGAAGGUUUUCGGAUCGUAAAACUCUGUUGUUAGAGAAGAACAAUGACGUUAGUAACUGAACGUCCCCUGACGGUAUCUAACCAGAAAGCCACGGCUAACUACGUGCCAGCAGCCGCGGUAAUACGUAGGUGGCAAGCGUUGUCCGGAUUUAUUGGGCGUAAAGCGAGCGCAGGCGGUGUCUUAAGUCUGAUGUGAAAGCCCCCGGCUCAACCGGGGAGGGUCAUUGGAAACUGGGAGACUUGAGUGCAGAAGAGGAGAGUGGAAUUCCAUGUGUAGCGGUGAAAUGCGUAGAUAUAUGGAGGAACACCAGUGGCGAAGGCGGCUCUCUGGUCUGUAACUGACGCUGAGGCUCGAAAGCGUGGGGAGCAAACAGG